UAAUUAAUUUAACCUCUGCGGUAUGGUUACGCACACUGAGCAUGCGCAGAAGAGCAGUGCCUGUGGUCCCUGGGCAGUGGCCCGUGGGCAGUUGCAGCUGCAGUCUUCUUUGUCAUUUGCCCACCAUUAUUGACUCUGCUUUUGCUGUUUUAUUAGUACUGUUCCUGUCUUUUAAGAUGCACUGAAAUAUUUCAAUAGGUGAGCCAAAGAUUACUAAUUCUUUUGAACAUUUUAGAUGAAAAUAUCUAAACCACAGACAUCAUUCUAAGCGGUUAUGUGUCAACAGCUGGACUCGAGAAGAAGUACAGGAGUGCUUGCUUGUAUUAUGGCAACUUAGUGUUUCAGACAGUUUAAGGCUAACUGUGUCGGAAUCUGUGAUGUCAGUGGAAAUCACAUCUAACUAGGUCGUGCUAGGAUAGUCUGAAGGCAGUUGGAAUCACAGUUUUAAUCCCGAAACUGAUCAUCAAAUUGAAUUUUGGCAACAGUUUCUAAUUAUUAUGCUGGGUCUAUUUAUUUAUGGAUGAACCAAACCUCAUUAGGCUUCACAAGAUUAGAAAGAAAGAAAAUACUGGUAACUGAUAUUAAAAGAAGCAAAAGAUUGUGCUAGAAUAAUUCUGAAUAGAGUGAAUAUGAUUACAGUGCGAAAUCAUAAAGAAGCAAUAAUUGAUGAAUUAUUAACUAUUUGGAGCUGAUGAUGUCAUUUUGAAAUGUUAUCAUACAACAAUAAUAUAAAGAAAUAAGGGUGGAACAGUCAGUAUUUUAUCAAUUUUAAUAUGUUUUAUAAAUAGUUAGUUGUUUAUUGUUUACAGUUAUGUUUACUUACAUUUUUAGUUACUUUAAAUAGUUUAGUAAUUAUUUUUACUAGUUUUAUUGCGUUAAAUUUACUUGUAUUUUGUUGUUAAUUUCAUGUCAAUCAAUGUGAUUUUAACCUUUUGUAUUUGUUAUUUUCAAUCUAUUUUAAUUGUUAAAAUAACUGU